ACCACGGGGACCCCCGAACCCCACAGGGAACCCCCCCCUGCUGCAGGGUGUUCCCCCUGGUACAGAGUGCCCCCUCCAUUGCCUAGGGCAGCAGAUGGCAAGCAGGGAUGGACAAGAGGAGCCUGUGUUGCAAUCUAAACAAAGACAUGAUAGACCUUGUGCAUGGGUGUAGGAGGCUUCCCAGCUCACUGCAGCCUCACCUGAUGGGGCUGUCCCUCAUCACCACCAGCUCAGCAGCCAUUUUAUGGCCCCAGCACUCCUUGCAUGUACACGUGGUUCUCUUCUCUGCAAGCUUUGUUUUUGCUCUCUUUUAAUCUUAAGUCUGAGUUCAUUGCAGCCUGAAAAGCUACUUUUUCUUCCAGGUAAGGAAAAGGACAGGAAGUGUCUCUGGUUUGAAUACCAGAGCAAUAGAGGCUGCUCUCACCUGCUGGACUGCUGAGUUCCUGCAGAGUACAUUAACGUUUAUGAGCAAAAGCUGUUUUCUGGAGAGAAACAGGAAGAUGGGCUUUGAGUCAGAAGAUCCAGGAAGGCUUUUUCUGUGGGAGCCCUAAAGCAGAAAGCUGUUAUCUUCUGGCUCAGGAGCUGACUUGUGGCAGGAUAAAACAACUCCUUCCCCUUGCCAGAUUGACAUACUUUUAAAUUUAGUACAUCUUAACCAAGUGAAAGCAGCAGCCCCUUCUCUGUCAUCCCUGCUGGAAUGCGCCUCCGAAUUCCUCUCUGCGUGCUGCUGCUGGCUUUGCCUCUGAUUGUUUGCAGCGAUUGCGUUUUUCCCACACUCCGGAUCAUGGUGAGGGAUCACCCGUGGCUCCAUGCCGGCUCCCUGUCAGCCCCAGCACAGUGUGCAAGCACAGGCAAAGCAGCAAGUCGAGAGUUCUGGUGGAGUGCAGUGGGCGCUGCGUGAUUCGGAACUGAAUCACCCCAUGUUGGGGCAGCUCCCCUCUGCUCCCAGCACCUGUACCAGGUGCAUGGUGGGCAGCUCCUUCACCCCCUUGUGCUGCACACAGCUCUGUGUCCAUAGGGUUGAGCAGGGCAAGAGGUGAAGAUGGAGCUCCUGUCUUUGAUGUACUCCUCGUCCCUUUGGUCCCUGUCUCCAUUUCAGAUGUCUUUGCUUGCUGGUGAAGCUUUGGGUUCCGUCCUUCAUCUGAGCAGCUGGGUUUUUGCU